AUGGGUCCUGGAAGAACGAUGUUUGAGCGGGCUGGUGCUAUGCUCAAGUAUUGGAUAUACAAGUUCAUGCCACUCUACGCUGCCAGUUACACUGGUGGAGUCUGUUGCGUACACAUAGGAGAAAUAUUUUCAGUAAGGUACGGCAAAGAAUUCACUGCUGUGACCUUUAGCUUCAGUGCGCGUGACACCAACUCCGCCUUGGGUGACAGAGGAGAGAGAAUUGAUGGAUCUGAUUGUGCAUUCCUCUCCAUUUCUGCUGUCCUCAAUUCUCUGUCGCUACUGCUCUUCCAUAGUAAAUUGUUCCAAGAAUCCAAGCUGCGACCUUUACCUGUCAAUUGGUCAUCCAGUGCUCAACGUUUUGUUGCUGAUUAA
rnacentral:rRNA from 1 species